rnacentral:rRNA from 1 species
UUGGAGGGCAAGUCUGGUGCCAGCAGCCGCGGUAAUUCCAGCUCCAAUAGCGUAUAUUAAAGUUGUUGCAGUUAAAAAGCUCGUAGUUGAAUUUCGGGAUCAAUGGAUUGGUCAUGCCGUUGGUAUGUACUGAUUUUAUUGAUUCUCACCUUCUAAAGAAUCAUAAUGCCAUUAAUUUGGUGUUGUGAGGAAUUAGGACUGUUACCUUGAAAAAAUUAGAGUGUUUAAAGCAGGCUUACGCUUGAAUACAUUAGCAUGGAAUAACGAAAUAGGACAUCGCAUUCUAUUUUGUUGGUUUCUAGGAUCGAUGUAAUGAUUAAUAGGGAUAGUUGGGGGCAUUAGUAUUCAAUUGUCAGAGGUGAAAUUCUUGGAUUUAUUGAAGACUAACUACUGCGAAAGCAUUUGCCAAGGAUGUUUUCAUUAAUCAAGAACGGAAGUUAGGGGAUCGAAGACGAUCAGAUACCGUCGUAGUCUUAACCAUAAACUAUGCCGACUAGGGAUCGGAUGAUGUUAAUUUUUUAAUGACUCAUUCGGCACCUUACGGGAAAC